CCUGCAGGCAGUGACCUUAUUGCCUUGUUAAGGCUCAUUACUUGACUACUGAGUUCGGUUCUCACAUUUCUUCAAGUUCUGCAACUUCCUUGCACUUCAUGGAGAGAAGUCGUGUAUCUAGUGGGUUGGCAGCCUUGGCGUUCAAAGGGGAGAAGCUUCGAUGUUCCCGCCAGCAUGGGCACAGUCCACAAAACACAGCCGUUUCUUCACCAGUUGUGGCUGAGACUUGGAAGGAAGUUUCUGGACUGGAAUGGCUGAACAUCUCUCCUCAAGAUUUGGGGAAUAUAAAGAAAAAUUCUACACAAGAAACUUGGAAAAACAUCAAAGCACAGAGAUAAAUGAAUAAAAUCUGUCUGGGAAACAUGGAAAGACUUCUUCAUACCUCAUGGAUGCCCAUGUCUCCAGAUUUCUAACACUAGGUUUUCCAGGGUCUUUUGCCACUUCUCUUGGCAGCCCACAGAGAUGUACUUUCUGGCUAUACUCCACAUCUCCCAGGGGAGGACUCCUGAUAUUGAAAGGAAAAGAGAACUGGUGUAAGUGAUACACUUUCCAGGUCCAGAUAUCCAGCAAGUUUUGAGCCUCCUUAGACCAAAUUUCCUUCAUUUACACAUGCAGUGUGUCAAACUGUGUUAUUAGGAAGGUCUGUGGGGAAUCUAAAGUGCUCAGACUCUGAAAAGGUGGGAACAACAUCAUCUAUGUCAUCCACUCUGAAUUACCCAAAUAGUGAUGCAGAUUAUUUAAGGCCUGUAUGUCACAUCUCUGUUUGAAAAGGGUUGUUGGGAUCACACUGCUGCAUUUCUACAGAGUCCUUGGAAUGAGAGGGGAAAGUGGACAUGGAUGUCAUUGGAAAGGGAAAAUGCAGAAGCAAGAUGGUUGGGUUACCAUCACUUUCUGAAAUAUAAAGAUGUAGGAGUGCUUGGGUGUUGCUGGAGUUGGAGAAAUAAAUGGGAAGUUUAUCCCA
rnacentral:lncRNA from 1 species